rnacentral:lncRNA from 1 species
UAGAUAUAAUCUAGAUUCAUUUAAGUUGCAUUUGGAGUUAAUUUGAAUUUCAUUUAAUUCUGAAUGUGUGUAUAAGUAAAAGCUGAGUUUUUCGGUUUUUCAAAGAUCUUUUUUUCAAUUGCAACAAAAUUUCAAUUCAGUAAAAGUUAGUUACAACUUUUCUCUCUUCUCUCUCUUCCAUCUUCAUCAUCUUCAUUUUCUUCCUCUUGUGCACCAUCAAUUGGUUGUUGAGAAACAAGUGUGAGUUGUGUUGAGAAACAAAUGUGAGUUGUAUUGAGAAACAAGUGUGAGUUCUAAGUCUCACAUUGCUUAGAAAGGUGGAGGUUGAGCAUUUUAUAAGUAAGAGGACGCAUACACCUAUCACCUUAAGAUUUUGGGUGAAUGUGUGGUGUCUCUCUCACUUGUUUGAGGGAGUAUUUGACCUUUAGAUGAGUGUUUAAUCCAAUGUGAUUGCUCCCCCCUUAUGAUGACUCAUUAGUGGUAUCAGAGAUGAUGGUUCGAGUAAAGGACCGAUUCCUUGUGUUGAAAGUCUUCCUGACAUGGUGGUCAGACAGCGUGUUUCGUUGAAAUGUCCAUGACGAGAUAAUGGUGUCUCACAAUGGCGAUACAAGCAUGUGGAUGAACGAGCUUCCGUUUGAGGGGGUAUAGUGGAUGGACUCACACUUGAGGGGAAGAUUGUUGAGAAAUAAAUGUGAGUUGCGUUGAGAAACAAAUGUGAGAUCUAAGUCACACAUUGCUUAAAAAAGAUAGAGGUUGAGCAUUUUAUAAGUAAGAGAACUCAUACAUCUAUCACCUUAAGGUUUUUGAUGAAUAUGCGGUGUCUCUCUCACAUUUUUUGGUGAAUCUUUGACUUUUAGGUGAGUGUUUGACCCAAUGUGAAUGUUUUCCCCUCAUGAUGACCCAUCAUUGAUAUCUAGAGCUCCAGUUUAAAUCCACGAAAAACACCACAAAAAAACCGAGUGAAUGUGAGUCGUAUGUGAUUAAUUUUAUUUCUUAAAUUUGCAUUCAGAUCCUUGAUGCAAAGUCUCGUUUAUCCUACAACAACUCAUUAUUUCUGUGGUGAACUAGUGUCAUCUAAAACAUGAUAGAACACUAAUUGUAUCAAUUCCAUGUUGACGAUUUCAUAUUUAGCAAUAAUCUAAUGGACAAUUAUUCAAGGUUACAAAACUUAUUCUCUAAUUAUGAAUUAUUCUAAAUAAGAUAAUGGAGAAGUACCUUAAGUUUAAUUCAAAAGUGAUCAAAUAAAAAUAACAUUACACAUAAAGGAUAAACAAAUAAAAAAUGAACUUGGUUGUGUAAAAUAGAAUUCAUAAAUUACAUGGUUAAAGUAGAUUCAAAUAGGUUCAUUUAUCAUAACUGCACUAAGAGUUUAGUUGUUCAUGUUCUUAGGCAAAAUAGCCUUUAACUUUAAUUAAAUUUGGUGACCUAAAUCAGUUAAAUAUUAAGAAAACAAAAUAUACCUUAGUUUCAUGGAUGAAUGAGUAUUUCUAGAGUAAAGAAAUAUGAAUUUUAAAACUAAAGCAUUCAAAAAAUAAAUUUCAGUUUCUAACAAUGAACCACAUUAUUUAAUUGGUGAUCAAGCAAUAGAAAAAUUCAAACACAGAGAUAAGAAAGAGAGACAAAUAUCUAUGAAUUCUAGUGGAGAAGAACAUGUGGGAAAUCCAAAUAAAAUGUUUGAGCUAUCAUCAUCUUUUUCUAGCAACUUAAACUAAGAUAGGAACAUUUCACCAAAAAAGUUAGGAACCAAACUCUAAUUUCUUUAUUCUUUUUGAAUAACCAAACUCUAAUUAUUGAUCACACGAGUUUGGGUUUGAGCCGAGCUCGUUGCUAUUGCCAAGCCUAACUAACCAGAAAGCCAUUUAAAUAUUACCUUAACUAAUUAAUUAAUUAACAACUCUAUGAGUUUUUCUU